GGUGUGGUUGUGGUGGUGGGGUCUGGGGGUCCUCCGUGCAGGUAGGCAAGCGUGUUAACAGGGGUGACGCACAGUGGUAGCCCGGCGGAUCUGAUGGCUUGGUCCGUUCAAGCGCGUAGCCCGUCUCCUAGGUAAAUCCGGGGGGCAGCCCAUGUGGUUGGGUGGGGGUGAGGCGUGAUGGUGACCCCACGUUUGGUGGGGGAUAUCAGGGUGAUCCUGGGGUGCCGAGAAAAGCCUCGACGCGAUGGUGCCAGCCGCCCGUACCCUAAACCGACACAGGUGGUCGGGCAGAGUAUGCCUAGGCGCACGAGUGAAUCAUGGUUAAGGAACUCGGCAAAAUGCCCCCGUAACUUCGGGAGAAGGGGGGCCCUAUCCUUUGAAGCCCCGUUUUGCGGGCUAGGGGGGUGGGCCGCAGAGACCAGGGGGAAGCGACUGUUUACUAAAAACACAGGUCCGUGCGAAGCCGUAAGGCGAUGUAUACGGACUGACGCCUGCCCGGUGCUGGAAGGUUAAGAGGAACCAUCAACC
rnacentral:ncRNA from 1 species